rnacentral:tRNA from 1 species
GUAGAACUGGCUCAGUGGUUAAGAGCACUGACUACUCUUCUGAAGGUCCUGAGUUCAAAUCCCAGCAACCACA